GAUGAAGAACGUAGCGAAAUGCGAUAAUUAAUGUGAAUUACAGAAUUCAGUGAAUCAUCGAGUCUUUGAACGCACAUUGCGCCCCCUGGUAUUCCGGGGGGCAUGCCUGUCCGAGCGUCAUUGCUGCCCUCAAGCACGGCUUGUGUGUUGGGCUUCCGUCCCUGGCAACGGGGACGGGCCCAAAAGGCAGUGGCGGCACCAUGUCUGGUCCUCGAGCGUAUGGGGCUUUGUCACCCGCUCCCGUAGGUCCAGCUGGCAGCUAGCCUCGCAACCAAUCUUUUUAACCAGGUUGACCUCGGAUCAGGUAGGGAUACCCGCUGAACUUAAGCAUAUCAAUAAGCGGAGGA
rnacentral:misc_RNA from 1 species